rnacentral:rRNA from 1 species
UACAGAGGUCUCAACCGUUGUUCGGAUUCACUGGGCGUAAAGGGUGCGUAGGUGGUGAGGUAAGUCGGAUGUGAAAGCUCGGAGCUCAACUCCGAAAUGGCAUUGGAAACUACCUUGCUCGAGGGUUGGAGGGGGGACUGGAAUGCUUGGUGUAGCAGUGAAAUGCGUAGAUAUCAAGCGGAACACCAGUGGCGAAGGCGAGUCCCUGGACAACUCCUGACACUGAGGCACGAAAGCUAGGGGAGCAAACAGG